AUACGGAGGGUGCAAGCGUUGUUCAGAAUCACUGGGCGUAAAGGGCGCGCAGGCGGUUUGGUAAGUCAGAUGUGAAAGCCCACGGCUCAACCGUGGAAGUGCAUUUGAAACUGCCAGACUUGAGUACCAGAGGGGAAAGUGGAAUUCCCGGUGUAGAGGUGAAAUUCGUAGAUAUCGGGAGGAAUACCGGUGGCGAAGGCGACUUUCUGGCUGGAUACUGACGCUGAGGCGCGAAAGCGUGGGGAGCAAACAGGAUUAGAUACCCCAGUAGUCC
rnacentral:rRNA from 1 species